AGAGACAGCAGCAGCCGCGGGAAUACGUAGGUCCCGAGCGUUGUCCGGAUUUAUUGGGCGUAAAGGGAGCGCAGGCGGUUUAGUAAGUCUGAAGUUAAGGGCAUUGGCUCAACCAAUGUAUGCUUUGGAAACUGUUAGACUUGAGUGCAGAAGGGGAGAGUGGAAUUCCAUGUGUAGCGGUGAAAUGCGUAGAUAUAUGGAGGAGCACCGGUGGCGAAAGCGGCUCUCUGGUCUGUCACUGACGCUGAGGCUCGAAAGCGUGGGUAGCGAACAGGAUUAGAUACCCCUGUAGUCCCUGUCUCUUAUACA
rnacentral:rRNA from 1 species